ACAAAGUGAGCGUUCAGUUGUCGCUUGUGGUGACAUUCCAACAAAACAGAAAUGUCAUAAGAAAAACACAGGUUGAAAAAAAACAUUGAAAAGAUUUAAAUUUAAAAACCAAAAGAAGGAUAAUUAUAAUUCAUAUAAUAAAAAUGUAGGAUUUUGUUGAAAUUGACCCAGAAACUUGUUUGUACAUAAUAAAAAUAAUAAUAAUGUUCCCAUAAGUUUUGUUUUAUGCCAUUAUUGUUCAUUCCUCAUAUUAAUAUUGUUGUGUCCCAAAAUCUCAGCAAUUAAUCUGGAUUCUAAUGUGGCAUUUACCAAAGGAAAUGACGCAACUAUAAACCAAAGCCUGAAACACUCUUCUUGUUUUGAUCUCUGUGACGAAUCAAAUUGUUUUUUUGACUUAGAGUAAACUGUCUUUAUCUGCGACAUUAUGCUUCGUUAAACAUUUAGAAACGUGUCCAUUAUUUCAUUUGUUUAUUCUUGUGAGCAGGGUCACGCGCUGGGACAUUACAUUUGGAAACCUGUCCUGGGCACGUUUGCACCUUUACGCACAAAAUGAACUGAGUAGAUCUGCAAAAAUUGAAGACUGGAGCUGAGACCAGUUGUGUCACUGUGAAUGGAAACUCAGACUCGGUCUGGUUGGUUGAUGGCUGAACUUUAUCAAUAAGAUUCUUUUCCAGCCAAAUGACUAUAAGCUGCUGAUUCCACCUAAAUCACUAUGUUAGACUAAGCUUAGACCUUUGUUCCUUGGGGGACACGUUGCCCUCUGACGAUCCGACCUGGAGCGUUGCCACGAGCUGUGGUUUGUUCCUAUGCUGGCUGCCCUCCUGUGUGGUAGAAACACUUAUAAAACUGUCUGUCGGACCUCAAGUGUUGUUUGGUUUCUGAGGACUUAUUUUGUUUCUGUUUUUAAGGUUCAUUGUACAUUUAUUUUUAUUUUAGAGAAAUGCUUUGCAGUGGUUCAAAACUUAAACACCUUUUGGGUCUUGAAGACAUUUCAUCCUUAGACGACAGACAUGUCCCUCAGCAGAACAGGACCUAGAGCACCCUCCACUGUGCAUAGAUGCCCAUCUAAGAAUCAACGAACCAAUGACGCCACCGGGUUCAUACCUGCUGCUCCAGCCUGAUUAGAUGACACUUGUGAGGUGGAAGGUGAAGCACACAGCACAAAAAACCACCUGCCUUAUUCAGGUUCAAGCACAUAAUCAUGUUUGAUAAUUUAGAUGGGUUACUUGUUCAGCAUUUUAAGCGAGACUUGAAAACUUCUAUUAAAAUAGAUAUUUAGAUAAAUAGAUAUAAAUGAAUGUCAGUUUGAAUUUCAUUUAUAUUUGUACAGCACAUAUAGGUAUUAUUCUAAUAAUGUGUAAAUAUUUUAUAGCAAUAAUAGAAUUUAAAGGUCAUGUAAAAGAAAUCAUGUAACAAGUCACAUAAAAUGUAAAAUAUUUUUGUAUGUAGUGAUGUAGAAGUAAGUUGCAUUCUUUCUCACGUGAAAACGGAAGGUUCAAUUAAGCUGAACUGGAUAUAAACAGUGCAGAACAAUCUUUGGUCCUUUAAGAGUGUGAACAUGUCACAUUUGCAGAAUUUAUGUGAUGGUUUUCUGUCAGGCGUAAGUGUCAGUUAAGUAAGUAAAUACUCCUUAAGGCUUUGUUCAGACAGAAGACAGCUGUUAAUGAGCGAUGACGACGGCUCACGCAACAAAAGUAUGUCCAACGUAUUAACACGUACGUUUGACUGUCCUCUACUGGAGAAACCCAAAUCUGGUGACAACAGGCUAGAUUAUUACUAAAUGAUAAUAAUAGUGGCAAAUGUGUGAAUGUUAUAAUAAAAAAGACAGAAAAACACCA
ensembl:lncRNA